UUAUCCUUGUUGCCAGCGAGUAAUAGUCGGGAACUCAAAGGAGACUGCCGGUGAUAAACCGGGGGAAGGUGGGGAUGACGUCAAGUCAUCAUGGCCCUUACGAGUAGGGCUACACACGUGCUACAAUGGCAUAUACAAAGAGAAGCGAACUCGCGAGAGCAAGCGGACCUCAUAAAGUAUGUCGUAGUCCGGAUUGGAGUCUGCAACUCGACUCCAUGAAGUCGGAAUCGCUAGUAAUCGUAGAUCAGAAUGCUACGGUGAAUACGUUCCCGGGCCUU
rnacentral:rRNA from 1 species